CAGCCGCCGCGGGAAAACAGAGGGUGCGAGCGUUAAUCGGAUUUACUGGGCGUAAAGCGUGCGUAGGCGGCUUCUUAAGUCGGAUGUGAAAUCCCUGAGCUUAACUUAGGAAUUGCAUUCGAUACUGGGAAGCUAGAGUAUGGGAGAGGAUGGUAGAAUUCCAGGUGUAGCGGUGAAAUGCGUAGAGAUCUGGAGGAAUACCGAUGGCGAAGGCAGCCAUCUGGCCUAAUACUGACGCUGAGGUACGAAAGCAUGGGGAGCAAACAGGAUUAGAUACCCCGGUAGUCCCUGUCUCUUAUAC
rnacentral:rRNA from 1 species